rnacentral:rRNA from 1 species
GACGAACGCUGGCGGCGUGCUUAACACAUGCAAGUCGAACGGUGAAGCGCCUUCCUUUUUGGUGGGUGUGGAUGAGUGGCGAACGGGUGAGUAACACGUUAGUAACCUGCCCCCUUCUUCUGGAUAACCGCAUGAAAGUGUGGCUAAUACGGGAUAUUCUGGGUCUGUCGCAUGAUGGGUCUGGGAAAGAUAUUGUUUCGGUGGGGGAUGGGCUCGCGGCCUAUCAGCUUGUUGGUGGGGUGAUGGCCUACCAAGGCGGUGACGGGUAGCCGGCCUGAGAGGGUGGACGGUCACACGGGGACUGAGACACGGCCCAGACUCCUACGGGAGGCAGCAGUGGGGAAUAUUGCACAAUGGGCGCAAGCCUGAUGCAGCGACGCCGCGUGAGGGAUGGAGGCCUUCGGGUUGUGAACCUCUUUCGCCAGUGAAGCAGGCCUGCCUCGUUUGUGGGUGGGUUGACGGUAGAUGGAUAAGAAGCGCCGGCUAACUACGU